rnacentral:lncRNA from 1 species
GGGAACACGGUUUCAACAAAGAAAAGUCUAGCCAUAGUUGCGCCCAACUUGCGCUCUUUUGUUUUGGGGUGAUGAGUCCACUUCCAACCACCCAAUAAACCAAUCCUGCUGAGAGCGAGAGCUGCUUUCUAACUCAAGCAUCGAAUCAAAGACUUUUACACAGACCUAGAAGCAGCCAAAAUUGCGGCUCACAGAUCAGACCAGAGUCUUGUACACCGUAGACUGGGGCGGAUCUAGAAUUCAAAUUUUGGGGCGCCAAACAAAUUUCAAAAAACACCUAUGUAUUUUUAAAUUCUGUAAGGGCACUUCUAUAAUUUGUAAAAUUUAGAAUGAUGGAAAAAUGUCAAAAAUAAAACUUAAAGGGCACACCGCACGCGUGUCUCUCGUGCCUCUUACUAGAUUUUAUAAUUCUACCGGGAUGCUCUUCUAAUUUUGUAAAAGAACAUUCAAGAGCACACCGCACACGUGUCUCCCGUGCCUCUUACUAGAUCCGUCACUGACCGUAGACGAUGUAGAGACCGUGAGCCACGAGCGUCUGAUCCUCAGAAUCUGCUAGAAUUUCGUCAUUUUUUGUGGAAUUUUUUUCUAAGCAUUUAAUUGUUGAUUAAGUAGGAUUUGUCGAUAUACACACUGAUAAAUGAGAAGACUUGAAUAUUGAAGAGUCUACGCAUCUAAAGAUACCUUUUGUACACAGAAAAGUUAAAGAUUUUCCAAGGAAUCUAUUUCUGACGUUGAUAUAAAAUUGAUUAGAGCAUGUAGCUGGCAGUUUGUUCACAUUCUUUCCGUUGAUAAUUUGUAAAAGCAGCUGGCCAUUGACAUUUCAAAUGAACAAUUAACAAAGGAAAAUUAAUAAAGUAUGUUCCGGACUCCAUGGAUUCAACUUGAAAUAUUAUCAUGUCCUUGUGUACGGUGUGGCGUAUUUUGAUGACCAAGUAAGCAAUUGCUUGUACGUUAAUGGCUCAAAUUAAACAUUGAAAAAGUUGGUAGUGAUAUUAUGACUUUAAAUUUAAGUGGAUAGAAUUGAUAACAGAACUAUGAAUAUGGUCAAUCUGAAAUAUAACGAUGAGAGUAGGUAAAGAUGAUGCAAGUGCCGAACGGCGAAACAAAAACUAACGAAUGCUUUCGUGAAAACGACCCAUAUUUAAAAACAGAGAGAAUUAUAAUCGGGGCAUACUUUUUCCGUGAGAAGAAAUUAGAUUAGUUCUGAGGACUUAGACAUGAAAUCAAAAGUAUUCAUGGAUUCCUAAUCAUUAGUCCAAAUAUAAAUUUAGAUAUUUAGUUGUGCGCAUGCAGUUCUAGCGAACUAUUGAUGCGCAGUUAUUCCACGAACCAAUCAUUCUUCUUAAUUUGCACGAUGCUGGUAGCAUUUAUGUCUGCAGACAAGUACUCCCUCCGUCCCCCUCAAUUGUUUAUAUUAGAGGAGAACGGGGACGCGGCACGGACUUUAAUGCUCCUGUAAAGUAUAGUUCUAUAAAUUUUUUUUAAGAUUUUUUUUUCUAAAUAAAAGUUUGAAUGUUAUAUUUUUAUUCAGAAAAAAAAAUCUUAAAAAUAUGUUAUAAAAUUAUAUUUUACAAGAGCAUUGAAGUGCGUGUCGAGCAGUGAAAAAGAAACGUAUAGAAUUAAAUGGGACAGAGGGAGUAAUAUAUAAAAAGGAGAGAGUGUAAAUGGGACAGAGAGAGUAAUAUAUAAAAAGAAGAGAGUGGAGUAAAAAUAGUGUGAAAAGAAAGAAAAAGUGUAAAAGUGGUAGGACCCGUUAACUAUUUUAGGAAGUUUUGUAAUGUAAAGAAAUGAGUGAGACGGCUUAAAAAGAAAACGGUAAAGAAUCUGGUGGGACGGAGGGAGUAAUAGACAUCGGCUAAUACAAAUGAUCGUACCUGGCCAGGGGAAACCAAAACUGGAAGUAUUCAUACGGUAAGGAUAACGACGAUGGUGGUAAUAAUUUGAGUGAUGAGAGUGGAGAGAAGGAUCGGGUAUUUUCCUCGCAUACCAGUACGGAUGGUGG